ACAGGAGUACAUACAUACCAACGACAACAAGAAUGGAUCCCAGAAUGCUGUCCAAAAACAAAUGUUAAAAUCAUUAGCAAAGAUCAAAAUUAUAUUAUGCUUCUUUUUAGCAUAAUUAUGCUUCUUUAUGAUUCCGAGGAUGCAUCACUAGCAUGAUAUGAUCCUUGCAGAACUGAUACAAUGGCACAUAUUGAUCUGGAAAUUCGUGAUAAGGAAAAAGGAGUAAUGAAACUUGAGACACAGGAUUACCUUCCAAGAUUUAUCUGUUCAUGAAGUAAUGAGACAUCGAAGAUAGCAGCAAAAAUUUGUAUGAAAGGGCUAAAUGCUGCAGUGAAAACAGGUCCCCGUUGUUUGACGCACCAUGACAUGCAUACAUAGCACAGACCUGAUCCUACAACUCCCUGUGCAGAAUCACAACAACUAGUUUAGUUUCGUCUCAAAUUCCUUUACUUUUGAUUACAUAAAGCGAAACUUAGUAGGCAAAGAAAUGAAACUAGCUAGAGCGUUCUCCUCUGAAAUCAACAGUUGAUGUGAAAAUCUCAUAGCUGGACAUUCUUUCUUUGAAGAGUUAAAUGAUCGCAACAGCAGGAGGAUGGGUAUUACUGUUUCUUCCCUGUUUAAAAUCACAAAUAGUGUUGAUGAA